CUUAAAUGAAAUAAAUUGUUUUACUGGGGUUUAUUUUAUAUUUUAGAUACUUGAGGAUUUAUAAUGGACAUCAUUUAAAUUGGAGGAUUUAUUUUAUAAGUAUGGAAAGUUUAAUGGCCAGAUUUUAUACAAAACAUAAAAGGAAGGACUUGAAUAGCAAAUAUGGGAGUUAGGAGGACAAGUGUCAUUGUAGAGGCCAUUUUUUUUCAUUUUCUAUUCAUAUAGACACAUACAUCCAGAAUGCUGAAAUGGGAAAAAGAAGCUGAGAAAAAUCGGUGAAAAAUGAAACAGGAAGAAAGGAGAAAAAAAAUAGAAAAUAAAAGAAAUUGGAGGUGCCGGCCAACGACGCAUAGGAGGGAAGAUACACUUCUUCAAGUAUUGGGUUGUCUUUCAGAUCCUCAUUUCUUCUACAAUCUCAAGUAGUGACGUGCAAGCUUGAAAAUGCUCGUCAAUUUAAUCAAAUUUCUAUCCAUAGAUCGAAACAUUACGUUGUGAAACACUCAAACCAACAUAAAACGAGGGAAAAGUAUGAUGAAGAAGAUUGUCUAGCCGUUACCCAUAGUCCUUUCCACACGCAACAAAAAAUUCUGGGGAGUACCUUCGUUCUUUUCUUCCCCAUCCCUUUACAUUCUUAAUUAUGUUUUAAAACUUUGAGAACAAUGUCAGGUUUAAAUUUGGAGGUGGAAAACACUUUGUGACAUUGUUUUCGUAUGUUUUUGUGCGUUAUUUUCGUAUGUUUAAUUAAAAAUCAAAAAUUGUUGUGUGUGUUAAGUUAAAAACCAA